GCUACAGCUAGCUAGCACUGCAGUGCAUAAAAUGUGAUGAGUAGUUGACUCAAAGAGAGAGAAAGACAAUAAUUGUAUUCUUCCAAAAUGAAGGAGAAGUAUGAGAGAGAGAGAUUGCAAUAUAUAUUUUUUGGGGGGGGAUGGGGGGUUCACUUUCACAUAGCUACUUAGCUAGCAAAAGGCAAAAGCAGCUAGCUAGCUAGUUUAACCUACUCAAACACCCGGCUCAAACAGAGGGAUGCUAUGUUAGCUAGCUGGUUAUGACUAUCCAACACAACACUGGAACUCUUCCAAGUCAAGAUUCAACUAGUCUGUUACGGCAGAGGCAGAGACGACGUUGGAGGGAUAUGGGUCAAACUUAGCUGAAAUGGUUUCGUGCCCCACGUCCGGUGCCAAGUUUUCAUACAUACAGCUGAGGACUUUGUAUCUUAGGCUUUGGAGUUUAACAGGUAGUUUACCCAGGUUCCGUUCCCCAUUGGCAAUUAUAAAUGCUGCACUGCUGAGAAUUAAAAGAUCACGGCUGUGAGGAGGUCAAGCCCACAGAGGAAGCAAUCAGCCAGGACUCAGACCAGGAGGAACCUCCACAGCUGCACUGGAAGUAAUAAACUGACCAGGGUGGGCCCCUGUUGGGAGAAUCCGUUUUUGCAGAGUCAAAGGGUUUGGUCAGAUUGGCCGUCCAAUGACCCCAUGGUGAACUUUAUGAGUAGGAACCUUGAAGCCGAGGAGCUGGGUAGUUGAAUUUUGGAGGAGGCUGAGCUGACUGGCAGUUAGCUUGAAACCCUCAUCAGGGAAUGAAUAGUCUGAAACCUGCCUAUGGUAGAUAUCUAGCUGUACUGCUCGAGAAACGUAUAAGCAGAUAUUUUUGUGUUUUUUUAAGCCUGGCUCUAAGACUCUCUGAGCUAAAUAAAUAGGAGAAUGAUUUGAAUCUGGCUUCCCUCUCAAUUCCACUUCAAACUUUAGUCUUAGUCACCAUGAGCCCCUAUACCCAUGAGAGUUGUAUAUGUAUGAAUUAUUUACAGCUUCAUGGCGGAGCGCUGCUGCUCCGUGCACAGAGUGAAAG
rnacentral:lncRNA from 1 species